CUGAAGUCUUUGACUCUUGAGGCCUAUGUCUUGACGUAUCUGUCUCUUCCCAUGAGGUGGCUAGCUAUCUACCUUCACCAGGGCUUCCACAAGAUUAAUGGUGUGUGGAACAGAAUGCUAGAAGCAGUCCAAGCAUAUCAACUGGACAAUCCAGCAUGGUGUGUGGCACAUGGCAGAAGCAGAGAAUGGAUUAUAUACCAGAAAAGAG